GCAGGGCUAUAGCUCAGUUGGUAGACUGUGGUGCUGAUAAUGCCAAGGUCGCAGGUUCAAUCCCCAUAAGGGACAGCUGCA